rnacentral:piRNA from 1 species
UCACCUGGGUGCAGGUGGGCUGAGUCCGAA